AUGCAGGUGCUAAGGUUACUUAAUGCAGAAUGCAGGUGCUAAGUGUUAUUACUACCUACUUAUGUUGUGGAAUGUAGACUGAUUUCUGUGUAUAUCAUUGUGCAAAUAUGACAUGUCGUGGGCUUGGGGUAGACCGACUGUCCCGACUGACGCCGUCAGUCACCCGGCGGCAAGACCGACUUGCUAAUACAUAAUGACCACAAAGUACAAACCUACACGUAGUCUAGAGAUGAUAAAUAUACCAGUCAACCAAUAUAUUUAACAUCAUUCAAUAAAAUUAUCAUAUCAACUUCAACCAUUUCAACCUAUUAUCCAAUAAAUUACACAGUGCUUAUCACUGCUUCAAGAUCAGAGCAAACACAAUCAAUGAAGAGGAAGUUCAUCUUUCCCUGCUUUUGGUCACAAAAGAGUGUUUUUCUUCUGAUUCUAUUCUACAUGCAACUAUAACAUAAUAUUCUGAAAUACAAGAUCGACAAGAGAAACAUAGUUAGACAUGUCCUGCUACACCUGAUCCCAAGAUUGGAAAGAGUAUGCUGCUUGUUGGACAGACUUUUGUCAGCUACCAGGAGUGCAAUGUCAUGAUCAGCACAACUAAAAUUGUCCUGGUCUGUCAGAAUCUAUUUUGCCAGAUGCUGGAGCAGGUGGUGAUCUCAAUAUUCUUGAGUCACCUUUUCCUCAACAAAAUUAUAUCGCUCACCUUAGGUUAAAUCCAACAACAAUUAUGUCUUCUGUAUUUGUUUUAUUUAUUUCUUUCCAUCCCUUACCUACCUAGAUGAUUAACAACAUGAACAAUAAGUGUCUGUCCAGAAUUAUAGUAAUAAGGAUGUUGGUCAUACUUAUCCUAAUGUUUCAAAGGUAUUGUGGUAAUAUAGGUACUAUGGCACUACUGUGCUGGUCAUUGGACAAU